AAGGCAGAGGUGCUACAUAUGGAAAAGAUGGCCUAAUGUGGUGAGAAGGUCUGAGUUCUGUGUUCCGGUCUCAUGUCAGGAUGCUUUGUCACUGAUGAUGUGGACUUAGCAUUACGCAGGGAAUACAGGUGGCUCAUAGCCGAGGCACUGGAAGCCCAAAGAAGGAACAUCAAAUACUACAUCCCGCAGAUUUUCAUGGCAGAAG